CCGCAAUUGGUCCAACGUGUGCUACCUACUGCGGGGCGUCUGUGUUUACGCACAGUGUUACGCCUCUGUUUUAGAGGCGAACGUGCGCACAUUGCUGGUUUGUUUUUCUUUUUAAUCUUGCUCGGAAUAUCUUUAAAGCCACAAUGGUGUCAAACUGCAUCGUACCAGGAUGCAAGGCAAGGGCUAAAAGAAAAGGUAGUGGUAUUAGCUAUUUUUGCUUGCCGAUAAAGGACGCUGUGCGCUGUAAAUUGUGGCUGAAGGCGGUAAACAAUCCAAUGUAUGAAGAGAACAGUUCGAUGGAGAAACUAAAAAACCUACGAGUUUGUAGCCUACACUUCAAACAAGAGGACGUUAAACGCAGUUUCGUCGUUGUAAAAACAAGUAAAAGUCGGGUUGCACUAAAAGAAACGGCCGUUCCUUUAAUAAACGUGGACGAAGAAGAACCGGCACCUGAUUUCUCGCACACGAAGCGAAGUAGGUUCGGAGCGUCACGUGCGUCCACUACAGCCAGUUCCACAGCGGCUUCAGCGGCGUCAGGUGUUGGAGCAGGACCGUCUUCCUCUCAAACCCAACUCCAAGCAAAACAAACGUCCAAAACAAAGGAGGUUGCCUGUCAGACAGAGGUGCCCCUGUGGUCUGAUUGGGCACAGUUCUGUCAGAGGUCAUUUGAGGCUCAGAUCAUGUGUAAAAGCACACAGACUACACUGUUAACCAGAGACAUUGGUGUAGGCACUGCCAGGGCUUGUCGACAAGCUUCUCAAGAAUCCACAACCAUUAAUGGAUCCUUUAAGAGGCAACGUUUGGAUUGGGAGGAAGAGGAUGACAAUCCUUUGGAGGGAUCUGAAUCUGAACUAGCAGCCAAUACAUACAAAAAAUGCUCAACGUCUGGUUUUAAAGCUGAUUUGAAGAAAGCUCUUCACGGCUCACCCAUCAUCUCGAACCACCAGUGUCUCCAGUGUGAGGACAGGAACCAGUGGAAAAGCCAGGUCAAUGGCAGCGUUCCAGCAACUUCAGACAAACACCUGACAGAUGACACAAAUUUAGCUUUCCAGGCAGCAUCAACAAAUAACAACCAUGGCAUCGUUUCUGAGAUCGUUGCAGUCAUUGAUGAGGAAAGCGAUGAAAUGAAUAAAACAGACGAAUCGGGUGAUGAAGACAAUAUGGAUUCAGAUGAGGAUUGGGAUUUAGAUCAGAAUUGGGAAUUAAUGGAUGCCACUGAGCUUGAGGAAGGAUACAGCGAGGAAAGUGACUAUGAACAUUCAGAUCUCAGGCGCAAUCAGCUCUGCCCAGAUUGUGGGGUGUUUUGCCUUAAAUUGUGGCGACACACCUGCGAGUACAAAAUUAAGCCCUAUUCUUGCAAUCUUUGUGGCAAGAGCUGUGUUAGCGAAGCUGCUCUAAACCUUCAUGACAAGAUUCACAGUGAAGACUAUCAACAUCGAUGCAAAUACUGCAAUGUUACAUUUAAAUCAAAGAGAGAGAAGAUCAUUCAUGAGAAGAUUCACGUAAACGAUAGAAAACCAUACAAGUGUUCUGAUUGUUCAGAAACAUUUUCCACACACAAAGGGCGCAGGAUACACCAGAACAAGCAUAGACGCCUCAGAGUAACGUGUGACAUCUGUGGGACCGUAUUCACAAAUAAUAGUGCCCUUCAAAGACACAUUCUUGUGCACACAGGAGAGAAGCCAUACAAGUGUUCAGUGUGCCAACAAAGCUUCAAACAGUCGAACCACCUGACGUCUCACAUGCGCCUGCACACUGGAGAGAGACCCUACAAGUGUCAGCACUGUGACAAGUGCUUCAAUCACAACGUGAGCUUGAAGAGUCACAUCCAACGCUACCACUCAUCAAAAUCUGGACAGAAACAGAAAAAGCCAGAUCAAAGGGCAAGUCACAGCUGUGACACGCUGGAAGAUGGGGACAGGAGAGCUACACACUCUGAGCCUGACAAUGGAGAUGAAGAACUGGAUACAGAGGAGGAAGAGGUGGUGGUGGCAAGGAAGAUGUAUAAGCGAAGAAAGAGAGGUACAGGUAGACCCAAAGGAAGACCAAAGAACUGUGCAUCUGGCAAUGUAGUUCUUACAGUUCAGGCAGAGGGCACAGGAACAGACAGUCAAAAUAAAAAACUACAAAUACAGAAAACAAAGAAAAAAACAACGCAGUACUGAAGAAAAUGAGAAUGAGCUCGGUGACAGCAACUGAGCCUCUAGAUCAGCACAGGAGGAAGAGAAAAACAGUGAACAGUGACCGAUUUUGGUCCAGAAGACACACAAAAAUGGUGUGAAGGCUAUAAAAUGAAUCUAUGGGAGGAAUACAGCAGCACUGUAGCACAGAUGCUUAAUAAACCUGGACUGAUCUCUAGAAAAUUGCUUAUUGUGAGACAAACUCCCAGGCAAAGACAUUCUGGAGCGUUCAUGAAACUAUGGGUCACGUUUACACACCUUGAGCAAGGUAAGCGUGUAUUUCCUCAUAUUUUCUUUUACAAUCUGUGAUUUUAUCCAAUUAAGAGAGAGUAGGAGAAAACCUGUCCAUUCUGAGACCCCGACCAACCGUGACUCACAAGAGGGGACUCCGCCCCCCCAACACCUGAAGCCCCUCCCCCCACGCUGAUGCCGAACCAAAACUGGACUUCCCAUCGUCCCCCUCACUCCCAGAAAAAAAAAGGGGAAAGGAGCAUGGCAGUCUCAUGGUCUCAUAGAAAGUGCACCGUUCUUGGGUGUUCUAACCCAAGCAAAAGCUUAUUUACCCUGCCAAAAGAUCAACACCUGAGGACUCUGUGGUUAGACUUUAUUUAUGACGGAGCGGCGCCAGCAACAACGCCUGU